rnacentral:rRNA from 1 species
CCUGAUAGUGGGGGGCAACGUCUCGAAAGGGACGCUAAUACCGCAUACGUCCUACGGGAGAAAGCAGGGGACCUUCGGGCCUUGCGCUAUCAGAUGAGCCUAGGUCGGAUUAGCUUGUUGGUGAGGUAAUGGCUCACCAAGGCGACGAUCCGUAACUGGUCUGAGAGGAUGAUCAGUCACACUGGAACUGAGACACGGUCCAGACUCCUACGGGAGGCAGCAGUGGGGAAUAUUGGACAAUGGGCGAAAGCCUGAUCCAGCCAUGCCGCGUGUGUGAAGAAGGUCUUCGGGUUGUAAAGCACUUUAAGUUGGGAGGAAGGGCAGUCAGCGAAUACCUGGUUGUCUUGACGUUACCGACAGAAUAAGCACCGGCUAACUCUGUGCCAGCAGCCGCGGUAAU